GCCAUAGUUUUCAUCGGGGUGUAGGUUUGGGAUUUCCUGUGGCUUUUCCAAAUCAUGCACAUCCCAAAGCUACCUGCACUUACCCCUAAGCACUGGAGCAGUCCCACAGAUGUGUGCAGCUGUGCUUCCCACGUGCUUUCCCAGCUCUGAGCCAUGGCAGAGCUUGACUUUCUCGAGGAAUGUGGCUUUUUCCUGUGCAAAACUUCUUUCACACCCUAUGAACCCCACCAGGAAGGUACAUCUGUUCUCUUGUGAGAUGAGCUCUUCUCUUCUAGGCUGCUGACUCACCAAACAAGGAAAGGAAAGGUGGUCCCUUACGAGAAGGAGAGUACAAAUCUGAGCUAAUAUGCUUUACCUAAAAGAGAGAAUAAAUGGGAACUUUUAUU
rnacentral:lncRNA from 12 species